UGGCAUGAAAAAAAAAAAAAAAACUAUUGGGCUUGAAGGCUGGAAUUUUGGUAAACUGUGAGGGUUCGUUAAAAAGCCUCAAUUCACUAGAGGGUGGAGAAUGGGUAUUCUGUUUAAUUGAACAUUAAGUAGUGUCUUUCUUUGUCUUGGCCCUUGUUGAAAAUUUCCUAACACUGCCUUACUAGAGGCUGCUAUACUUUGAACUGACUAAAUCUUUGCUUUAUGGUUCUAUAGUCUCUGUGUAAAAAGUAGAGUUUGGGCUGUGAAUCUAUAAAGACCCCUGUUCCUGCUUAUUCUGAAAGUCAUUGGUUGUAAACAUACCCUCUGUGAAUUUGUUAAAUUUCCCUUUUUUCCUUUAAACUAGAGUUCAGGAAAAAUUCUAAUACUAUUUAAAUUAAAAAUAAAAAGUCACCAUAUUGAAAUAUACUAAGUGUUAAGUUCUGGAUCACUGUUAGUUUGAUGGCCCAGUCUCAAGAGUUGCUAAGCCUCUCAAAACCUUGAGCAUUCUCGACGAGAACAAACCUUUCCAUGGCCAUGUUCAUGCUCCCAAAUAAACGAUCAGUAGGGUUUUAUCAAGUAAAAAUGGCUUUUGAUUUUUAUGUGUAACAUACAUGCACUUAUUAUUUAUAUUUGAUUGCUAAAAGCAUAAUUAUGUUAGAUAUAUACUAUGUGGUAAAUUGUAACUAAUAAAUUUUAGGAAGUACUGAAAGUAAUUCUCAGUAUUUUGAAAUUUUAAAUAUUUAGCAACCUGGUAGUUUAUUUAAUAUGAUGUGCACCUUCUGACUACACAUUUAAUUGUGAAAAUUACAGUUUAAUAAGGAAGAUAAAGCUGUUCUGUUGUAAAGGAGCAAGUAUGGAUCAAUACUUGGGUAGGGAAGAGAUAAAAACUUGAGAAUUGAAAUAGUAUUUUUUUCUUUUGCAGUCCAUGCAUAAAUAACAAAAUUGCAUUAAGUUGUAAUAGAACUUGGCAGAUUGAGUUCUUUAAGGGGUGGGUGGGUAUAUACACAUAAAGUACGGUUCAGGUUUUUAGCAUUGAAAUGAUAUUAAAUACAAGUAAAUCCAAAUAUUGGAGAUAAUGUUUGGUAACAGUACGUUUAAGCGCAGGGGAAAAAUACCAGUUAAAUGUCAGGGCUCAUUCGUUUGUUUUAGAUAACCUGUUUAAAUCAUAGAUAAACUUUUUUUAAAGUGAAGUGAAAGUACAACCAAAAACUUUUUGAAAUUCUUGUUUUCUAAGUCAAGAAUUUGUAGUUUACACCAAGGUGCCCCGUAUCGUUGUAAUGAGCUACUUGUUCAACCAAGACUUCCAAAGGACUUUCACUUUUAAAGAAUGUCGUAAAGUCUGUUAUGUCUUCCAGAAGGUAAAAUACUUUCCACAAGAGUGUAACUUUCAUUUACUUGCCUAAGAGGCAUGAACAUUUAGAAAAAUGUUGCUCUCCUAUGUAAAUAGUUUAAUUAUAGUUAGAUUCACAGAGCUUGGUGUAUUAUUAGCAUCACAUAAACUUAGAAAAUUUUUCCUCCUCUAGUUUUGUAAGAACUUGUGGUAUUAAGUCUGGAGCAAAUGCCAUAUUUUGCUGAUUUGCAUCAUGAUUAGUUAUACAUUAUAUGUUGUUAGUUUGGAAACUUGGCAUUUCAAGCAUAUGAACCAAAGGCCCACACUAACUGAAUUAAUAUUUAAAUGCAGAAUCUGUUUUUUAUUUACACGGUGCUUUCCACCUUGAUCAUUGAGACACUUUACAGGAGAAGCCACCCAUGUUUAGCCCUGCAUGAGUAGUGAUAAUUCCAUAUGACUUCAUAGGUUUUUUUGUUGUUGUUGUUUCUUUGCCUGAUUCUGUUAAUUAGAAAGUGAGGGGGUGUUCCCGUCUUGGCUCAGCGGUAACAAACCUGACUAGUAUCCAUGAGAAUGUGUGUUUGAUCUCUGGCCUUGCUCAGUGGGUUAAGGAUCCAGUGCUGCCUUGAGCUGUGGCCUAGUUCGCAGACAUGACCCAGAUCCCUGCUGUGGCUGUGGUGUAGGCCAGCAGCUGCAGCUCUUAUUCGACCCCUAGCCUGGGAACUUGAAUAUGCCCAGAUGUGGCCCUAAAAAUGAGGGGAAGGAUGAUUGUUAUUUGUCCUUUUGUGACUGGCUUAUUUUGCUUAGUAUAAUAUCUUCGAAUAAUCUGUUUUAUGUUUCCAGUGGCCGCUUUUUAAAAAAUGACAAGUGAUAUUUUUAAUAAUUUUUAAUCCAGUAUACUCAAAGUAUUGUCUCAACAUGUAGUCUGUUUUUGAAAGGCUAUGAGACAUUUUGCAUUUUUUCAUACUAAGCCUUGGAAAUCCCAAGUAUAUUUUAUACUUAAAAGCAUAUCUCAGAGUUCCCACUAUGGCAGCUUGGGUUGCUGCAGAGGUAUGGGUUCGAUUCCCCAAGCCCAGCACAGUGGGUUAAAGAAUCUGCAUCACCCCAAUAUAGGUCACAUUUAAUCCCAAAACUAAUCCAUAUGCUAUGGGUGUGGCCAUUUAAAAAAAAAAAAAAGGCAGUAUAUUUCAAAUGGACAAAGGACGUCAAUAGACAUUUCUCCAAAGAAGAUAGAUAAAUGGCUAGUAAGCACAUGAAAAGAUGCUCAGUGUCACUCAUCAUUAGGGAAAUGCAAAU
rnacentral:lncRNA from 1 species